GUGCCAGCCGCCGCGGUAAUACGGAGGGGGCUAGCGUUGUUCGGAAUUACUGGGCGUAAAGCGCACGUAGGCGGAUCAGAAAGUUGGGGGUGAAAUCCCGGGGCUCAACCCCGGAACUGCCUCCAAAACUACUGGUCUAGAGUUCGAGAGAGGUGAGUGGAAUUCCGAGUGUAGAGGUGAAAUUCGUAGAUAUUCGGAGGAACACCAGUGGCGAAGGCGGCUCACUGGCUCGAUACUGACGCUGAGGUGCGAAAGUGUGGGGAGCAAACAGGAUUAGAUACCCGGGUAGUCC
rnacentral:rRNA from 1 species